rnacentral:rRNA from 1 species
UACGAACCGUGCGACCGUUGUUCGGAAUCACUGGGCUUAAAGGGCGCGUAGGCGGGCUGUCCAGUCUGGGGUGAAAUCCCGCGGCUCAACCGUGGAACUGCCUCAGAUACUGACGGCCUCGAGGGAGAUAGGGGCAUGCGGAACUGUAGGUGGAGCGGUGAAAUGCGUUGAUAUCUACAGGAACACCGGAGGCGAAGGCGGCUCACUGGGGAUUUUCUGACGCUGAGGAACGAAAGCCAGGGGAGCGAACGGG